GAGUUUGAUCCUGGCUCAGAUUGAACGCUGGCGGCAUGCCUUACACAUGCAAGUCGAACGGCAGCACGGGAGCUUGCUCCUGGUGGCGAGUGGCGAACGGGUGAGUAAUGCAUCGGAACGUAUCCUGGAGUGGGGGAUAACGUAGCGAAAGUUACGCUAAUACCGCAUAUUCUGUGAGCAGGAAAGCGGGGGACCUUCGGGCCUCGCGCUCUUGGAGCGGCCGAUGUCGGAUUAGCUAGUUGGUGAGGUAAAGGCUCACCAAGGCGACGAUCCGUAGCAGGUCU
rnacentral:rRNA from 1 species